rnacentral:rRNA from 1 species
UACCUAGUGGCGGACGGGUGAGGAAUACGUAGNUACCUGCCUUUAGGUGGGGGAUAACCCGGGGAAACCCGGAUUAAUACCGCAUGAUCUCGAAAGAGCAAAGCAGGGGAUCGCAAGACCUUGCGCCUUUAGAGGGGCCUACGUCGGAUUAGCUAGUUGGUGAGGUAACGGCUCACCAAGGCGACGAUCCGUAACUGGUCUGAGAGGAUGAUCAGUCACACCGGAACUGAGACACGGUCCGGACUCCUACGGGAGGCAGCAGUGGGGAAUAUUGGACAAUGGGCGAAAGCCUGAUCCAGCAAUGCCGCGUGUGUGAAGAAGGCCUUCGGGUUGUAAAGCACUUUAAGUUGGGAAGAAAAAACUUCGCCUAAUACGUGAAGUCUUGACGGUACCGACAGAAUAAGCACCGGCUAACUCUGUGCCAGCAGCCGCGGUAAUACAGAGGGUGCUAGCGUUAAUCGGAUUUACUGGGCGUAAAGCGUGCGUAGGCGGUUUGAUAAGUCGGUUGUGAAAGCCCCGGGCUUAACCUGGGAAUUGCGGCCGAUACUGUCAGACUCGAAAACGGUAGAGGGAGGUGGAACUCCAGGUGUAGCGGUGAAAUGCGUAGAUAUCUGGAAGAACACCGAUGGCGAAGGCAGCCUCCUGGGCCUGUUUUGACGCUGAGGCACGAAAGCGUGGGUAGC